rnacentral:tRNA from 2 species
GUCCCAAUAGCUCAGCUGGAUAGAGCAACAGCCUUCUAAGCUGUAGGUCGUAGGUUCGAAUCCUACUUGGGACG